GGAAAGGAGAAGAAUGUCCUGGAUAAUAUUCUGGACAUGCUUCCCAAGGAGUUUAACGUGGCAGACAUCACACAGACAGCUACUGCCUGGAGCCCCUGUGCCCUUGUGUGCCUUCAAGAGUGUGGGAGGAUGAACCUCCUCCUGUCGGGGAUCCAUAGGUCUCUUAAAUAGCUGGACCUAAGUCUGCAGGGCUACUGAUCUUCUCAUGCGAGAAGAGAACUUGGGAUCUGGCCACAGGACCUUGUGCUGCCAGUGGUGGUGUGGCUUUCUGGCUUGUUCAGUCCUCAGUCCUUGCUGACAGAGUUAAGCACAAGUUUAAAUAAAAAGAUAAAAAAAUCAGCUAAAUACCAGAAUAACCAUCUCCUGGAAGCAAGAGGAACAAUCCAAACUCAUCUCCAGUUUCCUCAGAAGCAUGAAGACAAAGCAGGUAAGGAAAUAAAUGCUGCUUUUCAUAGUUUAAAAAAGUUUAAGAGUGCAGGUCUUCCCAACGUUAGUAUUUAACCAAUUCCGUGCACGUGACAUGGUGACAUGGCAUUUUAUUCCUUAGUAUUAAUGCACUGUUAUCAGGCAAAGCAGGAAAA
rnacentral:lncRNA from 1 species